GACGAACGCUGGCGGCGUGCUUAAAACAUGCAAGUCGCACGGUGAAGGAAGCUUGCUUCCGGAUCAGUGGCGCACGGGUGAGUAACACGUGAGCAACCUGCCGUACUGUGGGGGAUACCCAUUCGAAAGGAUGGUUAAUACCGCAUAGGCGCGCUCUCCGCCUGGAGGGCGCGGGAAAGCCGCAAGGCGCAGGACGAGGGGCUCGCGGCCCAUCAGCUUGUUGGUGGGGUCAUGGCCUACCAAGGCGACGACGGGUAGCCGGCCUGAGAGGGUGAUCGGCCACACUGGGACUGAGACACGGCCCAGACUCCUACGGGGGGCAGCAGUUGGGAAUCUUGCGCAAUGGGCGAAAGCCUGACGCAGCGACGCCGCGUGUGGGAUGACGGUUUUCGGAUCGUAAACCACUUUUCUCGAGGACGAUACCAGACGGUACUCGAGGAAUCAGCCCCGGCUAACUCCGUG
rnacentral:rRNA from 1 species